rnacentral:rRNA from 1 species
CUCCCUGAUGUUAGCGGCGGACGGGUGAGUAACACGUGGGUAACCUGCCUGUAAGACUGGGAUAACUCCGGGAAACCGGGGCUAAUACCGGAUGCUUGUUUGAACCGCAUGGUUCAGACAUAAAAGGUGGCUUCGGCUACCACUUACAGAUGGACCCGCGGCGCAUUAGCUAGUUGGUGAGGUAACGGCUCACCAAGGCAACGAUGCGUAGCCGACCUGAGAGGGUGAUCGGCCACACUGGGACUGAGACACGGCCCAGACACCUACGGGAGGCAGCAGUAGGGAAUCUUCCGCAAUGGACGAAAGUCUGACGGAGCAACGCCGCGUGAGUGAUGAAGGUUUUCGGAUCGUAAAGCUCUGUUGUUAGGGAAGAACAAGUGCCGUUCAAAUAGGGCGGCACCUUGACGGUACCUAACCAGAAAGCCACG